rnacentral:lncRNA from 1 species
CAGGUCUUAGAGUCAUACAGAACCAUGCACUAGCAACUUCUGAUAGGUUCUGGUGCUUAAUAGCUCUAAGUGACAAGGAGCUAGGAAUGUGGAAUUAAAAAUUCUCUGGAUCAGCAUCCAUUACAGGAAGGAAUGAGGUAUUUGAGUUGAUUGUUUUCUAUUUUUUUUCUGUUCCUAGAAAUAGUGUGUUUUUAGUCAUUAAUAUAUUGCUCUUGCUUACAUUAAUAUCCCAGAAAGUUAAGUUGUCAAGUUAAGUUAGAGCAGUGUUUGUUAUGCUAAAAAGGACUCUGGGCUUGGGAGAACCCAUCCU